rnacentral:lncRNA from 1 species
UUCUUAAAAAGGAGCAGAAUUGAGAAAGCUUUCCCUCUGAAGCAUUGAAUGCCAAAGUAUCUUUGAAUACAGUGAUAUGUGAAGAAUUUUUAAGUGGAAAAACAAUAUUGUGCACCAAGAAUAUUGUUUGCCUCCAAGUAUUCUUUUGUAUGAAAAAGUAUUCUCUGAAAAAAAUAAGCCUCAGUUUACUUCCUGUCUGCCAAUUGAGGGGGCAAAGGAGGAAAACACUUAUGGACACCUUGCAUUUACCAGGAACUGACUACAGAUGGAGAGCAAGACUGGAAAAGGCCAGACUUCGGCCUCAAGGCUCUCUCUUUGCUCACACUGGACCCACACGCAGGAGCAUCUCUGGGAUGUGGAGCUGUGUCCACUCGGGAAUGGCUUUCCAGAAUUCAGAUUCAGACUGAUGACAUCAAGAUAAGAGAUUACACGGACAUUCAACUACCAAUAUGCACCUAGAUAUCUCCACUCGUUGUCCUAAACUGAUGUUCAUGUUGGAUUUCAGCAAAGCCUCAGCAAAACUGAAACUACUCUAGAAAGAAACAGUCAUCUCAUGGAGACCAGAUUGUCCCUUCAGGCAACAUGGAAUUCUCCAGAGUCACCUUGUAAACAAGAACUGAAAUAAUAAUCAAACUGCAGCCCAACUCAGCAACUCUGUAAAAGCUGUUCUCUUUCUUUCAUUAAUGGGCGGGUGUGAUUCUCUCCAUCAGAACUGUGUCCCUUCAGCUUAAGGUCAGUUCUCUUGCUAUUUUCUCUUACUUUCUACUUCUGCCUCCCACUGAUGCAUCUUGAAAUGCUAAUCUGUGAC